AUUGAACGCUGGCGGCAUGCUUUACACAUGCAAGUCGAACGGCAGCGCGGGGCAACCUGGCGGCGAGUGGCGAACGGGUGAGUAAUAUAUCGGAACGUACCCAGAAGUGGGGGAUAACGUAGCGAAAGUUACGCUAAUACCGCAUACGAUCUACGGAUGAAAGUAGGGGACCGCAAGGCCUUAUGCUUUUGGAGCGGCCGAUAUCUGAUUAGCUAGUUGGUGAGGUAAAGGCUCACCAAGGCGACGAUCAGUAGCUGGUCUGAGAGGACGACCAGCCACAAUGGAACUGAGACACGGUCCAGACUCCUACGGGAGGCAGCAGUGGGGAAUUUUGGACAAUGGGCGCAAGCCUGAUCCAGCAAUGCCGCGUGAGUGAAGAAGGCCUUCGGGUUGUAAAGCUCUUUUGUCAGGGAAGAAACGGUAGAGGCUAAUAUCCUUUGCUAAUGACGGUACCUGAAGAAUAAGCACCGGCUAACUACGUG
rnacentral:rRNA from 1 species